AGGUGGAGUACCUACAAGGAAGACGCGGGCUACCGGUACUCUACGUGCACCUCGCAGCCCGGCACGGAGGAGACGUGGUCUCUCAAGUGGGAGCAGGAGCAGGAGAGAUGAGGCGAGCUCGAGAUUGGGAGUGGAGAUAAAGCCAGAGAGAAUCUAAACCACGUCACCGGCGGAGAGAGAGAACUAAGUUAGGGGAGUUUUUAGAGUAUAAACCAAAACACGGAUGUUCUAAAUGAAGUCCUCGACUUCAUUCUUUUUUACUUCCAACAACGCGCCUCGUACCGUAGCCACCUCCUCUCCUAGUGACAGCACGCGGACCAACGCCCUUGUCCGACUCCAGGAGUAAGUUGGAAUUAAACUUCGGGAAUCCAUCCGAUCUUCCGCCCAUUGGCCGCGGUGCUCGUACUAGGGGAGAAACGACCGCCCGAGUCGCUGCCAAAGUAGCUGCAUACCUUGGGUGGCGUCUAUGACUAAAACCACAGUCGAGUUCCAUUUUCCAUUUCAGACUUCCACAAGAAAAUCCAAUAACAGUUGCCUUCGUCGACUAUUUAUACUUAAGUCUCCUUCGUCGAAUAUUUAUCCCUGUGACGCCAAUGAUAAAGGGAUCCUGUGUCGACGCCGAUUCUUUUCCUGUACAACUUCGUCGUGGUAGCUAAUAGCACGAGGAGACGUAACUCUUCUUCAGUGAGGGCUCAGCAGAUACAUGGUGGAGGUUCAUAUGGUCUACAAAGAUGACAAGAGGAACGGGGAAGUAGGUACCAGAAACAUGUUGUAGUAAUCAAAAUUAAUAACUCCGUGUUCUUAUUGGACAUACAGUACAUACGAAGAAACUAUUGUCCAAUAAUUUACGCCUAUCUUAUUGAACACGUGAAGAACGACGUACAUAGGAGCAGAGACAAGAACCCUCUAUACUACUUCUCACAGAAGGAGAGUAACGAAACGUCCCGUACGGUUCUUGACCAUCGGUUACUAGAGGUACCUUGACUCACUGUAAAGAACCACUAAAAUGUUAAACUCGUAAGUCAAACUUCGACGAAAUUUAAAAGUCAGCAACGCAAGAGUAUCAAAACCACAUCGUGAAGUACAGUGUUAACUUAUGUUAAUAAUGAAGUACUCAUACACACCGGAGAGAGGGAAACAGACUAAGAUAUAGUACGGAAGGUCACAAAACACAAAGUCUACGG
rnacentral:rRNA from 1 species